rnacentral:rRNA from 1 species
AUUGAACGCUGGCGGCAGGCUUAACACAUGCAAGUCGAGCGAGCGGCGGACGGGUGAGUAAUGUCUGGGAAACUGCCUGCUGGAGGGGGAUAACUACUGGAAACGGUAGCUAAUACCGCAUACCAUCAGAUGAACCCAUAUGGGAUUAGCUAGUAGGUGGGGUAAAGGCGCACCUAGGCGACGAUCUCUAGCUGGUCUGAGAGGAUGAUAAGCCACACUGGGACGGAGACACGGCCCAGACUCCUACGGGAGGCAGCAGUGGGGAAUAUUGCACAAUGGGCGCAAGCCUGAUGCAGCCAUGCCGCGUGAAUGAAGAAGGCCUUCGGGUUGUAAAGUUCUUUCGGUAGCGAGGCGUUAACUACAGAAGAAGCACCGGCUAACUCCGUGCCAGCAGCCGCGGUAAUUC